UACGGAGGGUGCAAGCAUUAAUCGGAUUUAUUGGGCGUAAAGGGCGCGUAGGCGGAGAGGUAGGUCAGAUGUGAAAUCCCGGAGCUCAACUUCGGAACUGCAUUUGAAACUACCUCCCUAGAGGGUAGGCGGGGAAAACGGAAUUCCACAUGUAGCGGUGAAAUGCGUAGAUAUGUGGAGGAACACCGGUGGCGAAGGCGGUUUUCUAGCUUAUUCCUGACGCUAAUGCGCGAAAGCAAGGGGAGCAAACAGGAUUAGAAACCC
rnacentral:rRNA from 1 species